GAUGAAGAACGUAGCGAAAUGCGAUAAGUAAUGUGAAUUGCAGAAUUCAGUGAAUCAUCGAAUCUUUGAACGCACAUUGCGCCCCCUGGUAUUCCGGGGGGCAUGCCUGUUCGAGCGUCAUUUCACCACUCAAGCCUCGCUUGGUAUUGGGCAACGCGGUCCGCCGCGUGCCUCAAAUCGACCGGCUGGGUCUUCUGUUCCCUAAGCGUUGUGGAAACUAUUCGCUAAAGGGUGUUCGGGAGGCUACGCCGUAAAACAACCCCAUUUCUAAGGUUGACCUCGGAUCAGGUAGGGAUACCCGCUGAACUUAAGCAUAUCAAUAAGCGGAGGA
rnacentral:misc_RNA from 1 species